rnacentral:rRNA from 1 species
UGCGUAGGGGGCUAGCGUUGUCCGGAAUCAUUGGGCGUAAAGAGCGUGUAGGCGGUCCGGUAAGUCCGCUGUGAAAGUCGGGGGCUCAACCCUCGAAUGCCGGUGGAUACUGUCGGGCUAGAGUGCGGAAGAGGCGAGUGGAAUUCCUGGUGUAGCGGUGAAAUGCGCAGAUAUCAGGAGGAACACCUAGUGCGAAGGCAGCUCGCUGGGACGUAACUGACGCUGAGGAGCGAAAGCGUGGGGAGCGAACAGG